UGGCUGCAGCUAGCAAAAAACUCCGGUAAUCUUCCAGGUUCCCAGCCUUGCUAACAGAUUAUUUCUAGUAUCAUUUAUCAUGGAAAUUAGCACUAACCUUCCACUACAUUCCACUAGAAGUCUGGAGCUAGCUUGUGCGUCGUGUGAAAGAUCAAAUAUAAUGCGCAAAUUACCAGGGCUGUGUAGACCUUGGCACCCACUACCACUGCACUCUUAAUGUUUGGAAAUGCUUUCCAGGGACAAAGAAUAAGCUAAUUAGAAAUCAGGAUCCCAGGGUUGCCAGUCUUCCAAAAUGUCUUUGUUUUCCAAGGAACACAGGAGACUUUAUGAAGCCCAGGGCGGCAAACAAAAGCAUUAAAAAUUCAUUAAAACAUCAUAAAAACAGACUUUAAAAUACAUUAAAACAAAACAUCUUAAAAACAUUUUUAAAAGCUUC